GACGAACGCUGGCGGCGUGCUUAACACAUGCAAGUCGAACGAGGUCCAUGAUGCUUGCACCGGAAGACCUAGUGGCGAACGGGUGAGGAACACGUGAGAAACCUGCCCUGGACUCUGGGAUAACAGUUGGAAACGACUGCUAAUACCGGAUGCCGUCACCGAGUGGCAUCACUUGGUUACGAAAGAAUUUCGGUCCAGGAGGGUCUCGGGGCCUAUCAGCUAGUUGGGGGGGUAACGGCCUACCAAGGCCGCGACGGGUAGCUGGUCCGAGAGGACGAUCGGCCACACUGGGACUGAGACACGGCCCAGACUCCUACGGGAGGCAGCAGUGGGGAAUUUUGGAAAAUGGGGGCAACCCUGAUCCAGCAAUGCCGCGUGAGUGAAGAAGGCCUUCGGGUUGUAAAGCUCUUUUGUCAGGGAAGAAACACCGGCUCUAACACAGUCCGGGAAUGACGGUACCUGAAGAAUAAGCACCGGCUAACUACGUGCCAGCAGCCGCCGUAA
rnacentral:rRNA from 1 species